UUAAACUGUGGCAAGCCUUCAUUCUUGCAUAAGCUGAAUGUUGCAAGGAUGUUUAUUGCUGGCAUGGAUGCCCUCAUUGCAUAAAAUGAAAGAGAAUGUAAUGAACAUGAGCUAUGAUUGAAUACAAUUUUGACCUAAGAUUAGUGUGGUUGAAUUGGUUACAAGGCACACUAAGGGCGCUCCUUUCCUCUGACUUUCACCCAUAACUAAGGUAAAUUCAAAUCAGACAUGGAGGUAAAGCAGAGAUCUCCAAAAUGUUGUAAUGAGUGUCAUUAAAACAAAACCAAGCCUUCAGAUUACACCGCUCCCUUGUCUGCCCAUAUUUGAGAUGAGGCGCUCUUUGAGUUGUUCUUUGGUAGCACAUGGAAGAGCUGUUGUUGGAGAUGGCUGUCUUGUGAAGGAACACAGAAGUUCUAGCAGCUCUCAAGCACUUAAAAUACUUGAAACAAGCACCACAUAAGAUUUUUUAAGCACUAAACCUGAAGUAUGUAUAAAAUAUGGUCAUGAAAAACAGUGAAUUCAUGACUGAUUCCACCAUUACUGGUAACAAUGGAAAUACACUGCUAAAAUUGUCUGUUCUCCUAGAGUUGCAAAGGCUUUUAUGGUAUCUGCACUAUUCCUUCCUCUGUAGAAAGACGUUGCCAAAGGAAUCUGAAAACUACAAACAAAAGAGAAAUUCCCCUCCACCACACUCCCAGUCAAAGACCUGGAGCAAUGUAUUACUGCAUUAUUGAUAAGAAAAACUGAAAUAAUUCAAAGUGUCUGAUGGAAAAAGAUCCACUCAGGGACGCCAAACCGUUCACACAGUGACUCACGGAGAUGGAGAUGUGGAUAAGAGCUAGCUGCCCGUCUGUCCACAAGUGACUGAAGUAAUGCUUGCUGGAGAAAGCAACUGGUUCCUUCCUGCCUGACAGAAGAUGCGUUUGCUCAUCCAAGUCAAAGCAAUAUGGAAAAGCUAUGGUGAGUUGUUUGAUGAAGUUCCACUUAUCUCAGAAGCUGGAUUGACCAGCAGCUCUACCAUUAGUUCUGUGCCUG